CUACGGGUUGCAGCAGUGAGGAAUCUUGCGCAAUGGGGGAAACCCCGACGCAGCAACGCCGCGUGGGUGAAGAAGGCCUUCGGGUCGUAAAGCCCUGUCAGGAGGGAAGAAACAGUUAUGCAUGAAUAGUGCAUAACCUUGACGGUACCUCCAGAGGAAGCACCGGCCAACUCCGUGCCAGCAGCCGCGGUAAAACGGAGGGUGCUAGCGUUGUUCGGAAUUACUGGGCGUAAAGAGCGUGUAGGCGGAUAGAUAAGUCGAGUGUGAAAGUCCCCAGCUUAACUGAGGAAGUGCAUUCGAAACUAUCUUUCUUGAGUGCUGGAGAGGGGAGUGGAAUUCCCGGUGUAGGGGUGAAAUCCGUAGAUAUCGGGAGGAAUACCGGUGGCGAAGGCGACUUCCUGGACCGUCACUGACGCUGAGACGCGAAAGCGUGGGGAGCAAACAGGAUUAGAUACCCUCGUAGUC
rnacentral:rRNA from 1 species